rnacentral:tRNA from 1 species
UCCCCAGUAGCUCAAUGGUAGAGUAGGCGGCUGUUAACCGCUUGGUUCCAGGUUCGAGUCCUGGCUGGGGAGCCA